UAGCCACUGAGGACGGAACGGGCGACCGUCACCACGCGUUUAAGCGGCGGAGAUGUGGGAAAUGCCACCCCACCUUGGUUA
rnacentral:ncRNA from 1 species